GACGAACGCUGGCGGCGUGCUAAACACAUGCAAGUCGAACGGAAAGACCCUGCUUUUGUGGGGUGCUCGAGUGGCGAACGGGUGAGUAACACGUGAGUAACCUGCCCUUGACUUUGGGAUAACUUCAGGAAACUGGGGCUAAUACCGGAUAGGAGCUCCUGCUGCAUGGUGGGGGUUGGAAAGUUUCGGCGGUUGGGGAUGGACUCGCGGCUUAUCAGCUUGUUGGUGGGGUAGUGGCUUACCAAGGCUUUGACGGGUAGCCGGCCUGAGAGGGUGACCGGCCACAUUGGGACUGAGAUACGGCCCAGACUCCUACGGGAGGCAGCAGUGGGGAAUAUUGCACAAUGGGCGGAAGCCUGAUGCAGCAACGCCGCGUGCGGGAUGACGGCCUUCGGGUUGUAAACCGCUUUCGCCUGUGACGAAGCGUGAGUGACGGUAAUGGGUAAAGAAGCACCGGCUAACUACGUG
rnacentral:rRNA from 1 species